UUCUGCGAUUGGGCCCGGUGUCUGGCUCCCUCGCGGGGAUUGGUCCGCUCGACGUCGCUCCCGUGAGCCCGCCCCCAGAGGCCCCAGGCUAAACCUGGCGCCGCGCAGCCGUCCGCCAGCCCGAGCUGUUUGUAGGGCAGCGCAGAGGUCUCGCUUUAGGGCUCUGCAGUGGAAGAACAUUUCUGGGUCUGAACAUCGUUUUUCGCAGAAGCACACGGAGAUCUGUUGCAAAAGUAACGUGUGUGGGAUGCAGUUCCCUGUAGCAUCCGGGUCGGCAGGGCAAGUGCCCUAAGAAACGCAGAAAAGGGGGACGGGGUAGGGGGCGCCCGUGCAGGGAAAGAGAGUGCUCCUGGCAAAGGGUCUGAAAUGUGGUCUCUGGCCCUUCCUGGCGGUGUGACCUUGGGCAAAUUAUUUAAUCUCUAUGAACCUCCUUUCUUUGUCAAGUGGGCAUAACAGCCCUACAGGAUUGUUCUAAUGAACCCUCAACACGUAUAUACAGCAUAGCCUUGGGACAAAGGAGGGACUGUACCAGUGCCUUCCAACAAGCCCGCCAGGACCACACCUGAAGUUAGGUUUAUGACUUCUUGUAAGGAGGAGGAAUACAUAAAUGGGGAGCAAUGGGGUAUUUCAGUAGUAGUGUUAGAAUUUGUCAUGGGAUUUGGGCAUAAGUGAUGUGUGGGAAGGGUUCAAGAAAGCAAGCCCCCCCCCCAUUGGAUGCUGUCAGGAAGUGGGGGUAAUUCUAUGAUUGGGUGUCUUAAUUCUUAGAAGGAGUGAACAUAAGUGGGGGUUAAAGCCAUAACUGAUAAAGAAGUAGCUUACGGUAGACAUUUUUUGUCAUUUUUGUGGUUUAGACCAUGUUCAUGUUCUGUGUUCCAACUAGACUGUGGAAGCGGUCUGGUUUUUGUCUCGACCAUGGUCAAAGAAUGGCCUUGUCUGAUGUUAUCCUGUGAAAUUGUUUUUAUUCCACAGAACAUGGUCCAGACGAGCUCAUAGCAACAUCAAGACACAGACGAAUGGAGCCAUCAUCUGAAUACUAUCACUGACAUCAAAGCAGAGAAAACAGAAUGUGGUGAAUCUGACACCAGCUUUUAAAGGUUCCCCCAUAGAAAUGAUACAUACCACUUCUGCUCACAUUUGACGGGCCAAAACAAGCCACAGGGCCACAUGAAAAAUUGAAAAAAUUGAAAAUGAAAAAUUUCAUGUGCUCAGAAAGAGGAAGAAAUAUCAGCAAAUAGCUCUAAUGACCUCCGUGUCGCCAAGGCCAUGGUUUCUCACAAAGAUCAAGAGAAAGGAAAAGGCAUUUAAGAGAUGCUCUUUCUUAUGGGCAGGAACAGUUAGUAUCCAAUAUACUUGCAUGCUUUGGUGUUCCUACUCUUCCACUUGGAGAAAGCCAGGCCUUUUUAAUUUACUCUCUGCUGUGUAUCUCUAUGUGAUAAUACUCAUUAUGCAACCUUCCCCUUGCCAAAUAAUAUUAAAUGCUUGAGUAUGUAUUAAAGAGGCCUUAACCAACUAUCAAUUGGAAUCUGUCACUGUACUAGGGGCUGUCGAUGCAACAAAGAAAGUUAACACGCCACAGUUAAUUAGCAAAGAAACAUCCAUUUAUUUUUUUUUAGGAAAAGAUAAAAAUAUAUGAAAGGAGUAAAAAUGAUUCCAAGCCGAAGUCUCUGGAUGUCAUCGCAGGCCAGAGAUUGUCAUUCACCCACUGCUAUUGUUACUCCUCACAGGUUCUAAUUCAAACCCUCUUCCCUUAAAGACAGAAAUCAAAAAUAAAGGGUAGGCAUGAGAGAGGAGUGCCCAUCCACUGGGCAUAGUCUCCCUGGCAGUGUUUCUGAAACAUGAGUCAACAGGUCCCCAGGAGGACUUUGAAUUUUCAUGGUUUCAGUUCAGGAUCCAGAAAUUCUCAUGUAAGCAUAUCCUGAAAUUGUACUGCCACUUGAUACCACCUGUAUUUGUAUUUCUGUUUAUGGUACAUUGGUGCUGAGUAGAAAUACUUUAAUAUAUCAGACUAAAAAGAAACGAAGUGGACUAGAUAUAUAAAUGAGAUGCCCAAGCUAAGUGAAGACAGUAUCCUAUCAUGGUGUUCAAAAUGUUUCCAGAGCAUUCCAGGAAAAAGUGUAGGGGAAUUGAAUCAUUACCUGACAUGUGAAUAGACAUAUCGAACUCAAAAGAACCCAUGUUGUACAGGGGCAGUGCCAUAGUCAAGUGGCAAAGACAAAACACCAUAUAGUAGUUACUAGAUUUCAUUGAUGUCAAGAGGAAAGUGGCUUUUUUGCUUCUGAUAAAAUCAGCAGAGUAAGAUGUGAUGAAAAGACCUUACUUAUACCAAUUGCUACUUAGCACGUGAUGGUCAACAGUGUGCUGAUAAGAGUCUAAUUAUACAACUCCAAGCACAAAUUGUUGAAAGGGAAUGUUAAUCUGAUCAUAUGACCUUAAUCAAUAAUAUGCCAAAACAGACCUUUAUCUGUGUGAGAAAUUCAUAACCUGACUUCAGUCCCUGGCUUUCUUGACCUCUGUUACCUUGAACGCUGUUGAACAAAUUCCUUCUCCUUGAAAUGUUUUCUCCCUUUGGGGUCCAUGACACAUCUCUAUCUUUCUCCUACUUGAAGAGCUCCUUCACUUCCUCGGUGGGCUUGCUUCCCAAAUGGUACUAUUCCUCAGGUUCCUUCUCAGCUGUCUUCCUCUCUGGAGUCAAUCAUAUCCUCACUGUGAUUCAACUACCAAUGCAGCCAUCACUUCCAAAUCUCAAGCUCACCUGCUACUCUUGAACUUGACACCCAGAACUUCCACCAGAGUAUUUAAAAAAGCCACUGCAUAGUUUUAAAUGUCCCAAACAGAUAUUCUCUUCUUGUAAAUCUUGCAAAGGGACCAAGGAUUUCCCUAGCAAAUCAGAAAUCCUGGCUCUUUCCCUUUAGGGUUUCAAACCAAAGGGAAGGUUAUAACCCUUCUGAUGGGUUAUAACCCUUCUGAUCUGCUGGGAUGGUCCUACCUAAGUUAAGUGGCCAGGAAUAUACAAUAAUGGCCCUCAAGAAGAAAUCCACCAUCAUGACGGCAGUGGUGGUGAUGGUGGUGGUGGAGUGAAAGGGCUGGGCUGGUAAGCCAGGUCAACACCAGGGCCCGUCUGGUCUUAAGGGGAAGGUCAGUUGCUCACAAAGUGAUGAUGUUACAUCCUGUCCUGACCCACCAUCUUGGACCUUGGGGUUCCUUAAGAGAAAUAGUUGAUUAUCUGUACAUGAAAAUAUUUGUCACUGGAGUUGUAAUUGGGAACCCAGUCUCCUAUAGUGUGGAGUAACCAUCAGUAACCUCUCUCCCUCCAGUCUGUGUAGCACUAUCUGCAGUGGGUUAAGCCUCCAACCUUUAGACAUGGGAGCUGGACUUCCUGUUUUCUGAACCAGUCUCACAAAAGCAGAAGUGAGAACAUUAGGCAGUCAGAUCAGACUUCUCAAUUUCUUUUCUGAAUAACAGAAAUAAACAAGAUUGACUCAUUGGAUAAGUCAUGUGUGUGUGAUGAAAUCCUGGCCCAUGAAGUGUUUGAAGCCAGCUGCGAAGAUUCAGUCUUAAAAAGAGAGUACCGUGGACUGUAGGGGUUGAGGAGCCUCGGGAGGAAGGAAAAGAGACCAAAGCAAAACAAAGCAACAACAACACAAACAGGGUAACUUAGUCGUAAAUUAUAUGACUUUUUUUGAAAAAGACGUGAAAGAAAAGAAUUCUCCUUCUGAAGAUAAAUGUGGUGCUUUGUCUCAAAAUUGUUAUUUCUUCCUGGUAACAAAAUAAAGUUAGGGCCAGAUGAAACUAUCCUCAGGGUCAUUUCCAGGAGCCCAAGAAUAGAUAUAAAAGAGUGGAAGCAUGUGGGACAAGGAGAGAGGUCUAAAUUUGAGGCGUUUUUUUCACUUGUUUGGUUCCUUAUUUGUCAAAUACUAUUUGCCUCACUGGAUUACCAUGAGGAUACAUAAAAUGGUUCCGUGAACUGUAAAGUAGAACAAAAACGUAAGACGCCGUUUCCUUUAUUGUUAGUACAGAAUAUUCCAUAGACUUGGAUUUUGCAAUAAAUGAGAAUUAUACCUGUCACGUAUAAUUUUCGAUUUGAGUGGCGAUUUUCUAUAGAAGACUUUCUGGGUCUAGUAAUAAGAUGCAAAGGUUUAAA